CUGUUCGUUAAGAUGUGUGAUUGUCCCCUGCGGAUACUGUCGGCAAACGGAAAUACGACCUUGGAGGUGGAGGCAGUGGAGCAUUUUGUCCAUACCAUGCUACCUUGUAGUAGCUGCAGUGCAUGUAACCUGCAUAUCAAUCAUAUGUAACAGCGUAGAUACGAGGAAAAGAAAUGGGACUGGUGAAUUUGUUAUCAAUUCAAAAGCUGCACUUGGAAUGAUACAUGCAGGAAUUAGUGCCACACCUUUUAACUAUUUUCUUAAUGGAUUGAAUAUACUUUCUGUGAAUUCAUCCACCAUAAAGAAAAAGGAGAAUGAAACCGGAUAGAAAAUAUUUGCAGUUGCAAAAGAAUCCUGUAAAUUAAUUCAGGAGAAGAAACAGUUUUAAACAUGGUUAAUAUAAUGAGUAAUUGGAAGGUUGAAGCCAGUUUUGUUGCAGAAUAGCAAAUGUUUGGUACUGGUUGGAACUAUGAAAGUAAUACAGGUCUUAUGGUGGAUCAUCAUCCUUUAAAGAACAGCAGGUUAUUAGCAGCAGUUUUACAGAAAAAUGAAGGAUAUAAAUGGCUGUCAAUGGUAAAUGCAGCAUCAAAACGUUCCCCCGGCAAAUUUACUCUGAAAGUUUGGGAAAGUAUGAAUUAGAAAUUGGAGAGGCAAAGAGAUAACCAGAAAACACAGAAUUUAAAAGAGAAGAAUUGAAAUAAAAAGAAUAGAAAGAAGGCCCCAUGUAGUUCAAAUGUUAAAGAAGGAACAACAUAUGAAAUAGAAACUGAAGUAAACGACAAUGCUUUAGUGCUUGUGACAUUCAUCAAAUUCCUUCUCAUAUUCUUUAUAAUAUAUAUAUAUAUAUAGAUCAAUGUGUAAAAUUUGAUUUUCAAACAAGACGUCUUUUAAGACAUAGUGCCAUCACUCAGGUAGCAGCUGUCAGUGGAUCAAACCUAUUCCAGAGAUGUAAUAUGCCAAGAUGUGACAUUUUAAAUGAAGGGAGCAAAACAACUGGUAUUUUCUUUUCUAAUGCCACUAAUAGUAAUAUGAUAUAUCUGAAUGGGAGCAACCUGUACUAUUCAAUAUGGAUCGAAGGAUUGACAAUUUUGACAGGGAACAAAAUGAACUCUAA